AUUGAACGCUGGCGGCAGGCCUAACACAUGCAAGUCGAACGGUAACAGGAAUCAGCUUGCUGAUUUGCUGACGAGUGGCGGACGGGUGAGUAAUGUCUGGGAAACUGCCUGAUGGAGGGGGAUAACUACUGGAAACGGUAGCUAAUACCGCAUAAUGUCGCAAGACCAAAGAGGGGGACCUUCGGGCCUCUUGCCAUCGGAUGUGCCCAGAUGGGAUUAGCUAGUAGGUGGGGUAACGGCUCACCUAGGCGACGAUCCCUAGCUGGUCUGAGAGGAUGACCAGCCACACUGGAAUUGAGACACGGUCCAGACUCCUACGGGAGGCAGCAGUGGGGAAUAUUGCACAAUGGGCGCAAGCCUGAUGCAGCCAUGCCGCGUGUAUGAAGAAGGCCUUCGGGUUGUAAAGUACUUUCAGCGGGGAGGAAGGGAGUAAAGUUAAUACCUUUACUCAUUGACGUUACCCGCAGAAGAAGCACCGGCUAACUCCGUGCCAGCAGCCGCGGUAAUACGGAGGGUGCAAGCGUUAAUCGGAAUUACUGGGCGUAAAGCGCACGCAGGCGGUUUGUUAAGUCAGAUGUGAAAUCCCCGGGCUCAACCUGGGAACUGCAUCUGAUACUGGCAAGCUUGAGUCUCGUAGAGGGGGGUAGAAUUCCAGGUGUAGCGGUGAAAUGCGUAGAGAUCUGGAGGAAUACCGGUGGCGAAG
rnacentral:rRNA from 1 species